rnacentral:tRNA from 1 species
GGGCCAUUAGAACAGUUGGUUAGAACGUCCGGCAUAUAACCGGUUGGUCUGUGGCUCGAGGCCCUGAUGGUCCACCA